AACCAAUGAUGAGGGAACCGUCUCAAUAGAUCUUUAUACCUCUCCCAUGCAUCAUAUAGAGUCUCUAAAUCGAUCUGAACAAAUGACGAUAUGUCGUUCCUCUACUU
rfam:Gossypium arboreum cultivar AKA8401 contig_74621_1, whole genome shotgun sequence.